rnacentral:rRNA from 1 species
UGGUCAAGUUAUUAAGGGUGCAGGGCGGAUGCCUUGGCACUAGGAGCCGAUGAAGGACGUGAUAAGCUGCGAUAAGCUUCGGGGAGUUGCACGUAAACUUUGAUCCGAAGAUUUCCGAAUGAGGAAACUCACUUAGAGUAAUGUCUAAGUAUCAUUAAGUGAAUACAUAGCUUAAUGAGGGGAACUCAGGGAACUGAAACAUCUAAGUACCUGAAGGAAGAGAAAGAAAUUCGAUUCCGUAAGUAGCGGCGAGCGAACGCGGAUUAGCCCAAACCAAUAAAGUUUUCUU